rnacentral:misc_RNA from 1 species
ACGAGUUAGGGUCCGCUGGGGCCCGACCUCCCAACCCUUUGUUUACUGAACCACUGUUGCUUCGGCGGGCCCGUCUCACGACCGCCGGAGGAGCGCUGAAGGGCGUCUCCUCUGGCCCGCGCCCGUCGAUAGCCAACCACAAAACUCUGUAUAAAUCGUGUCUUAUGUCUAAGUCAAUGAUUCAAUUAAAAGCA